GAUGAACGCUGGCGGCGUGCCUAAUACAUGCAAGUCGAGCGAACAGACGAGGAGCUUUCUCCUCUGACGUUAGCGGCUGACGGGUGAGUAACACGUGGAUAACCUACCUAUAAGACUGGGAUAACUUCGGGAAACCGGAGCUAAUACCAGAUAAUAUAUUGAACCGCAUGGUUCAAUAGUGAAAGACGGUUUUGCUGUCACUUAUAGAUGGAUCCGCGCCGCAUUAGCUAGUUGGUAAGGUAACGGCUUACCAAGGCAACGAUGCGUAGCCGACCUGAGAGGGUGAUCGGCCACACUGGAACUGAGACACGGUCCAGACUCCUACGGGAGGCAGCAGUAGGGAAUCUUCCGCAAUGGGCGAAAGCCUGACGGAGCAACGCCGCGUGAGUGAUGAAGGUCUUCGGAUCGUAAAACUCUGUUAUUAGGGAAGAACAAAUGUGUAAGUAACUAUGCACGUCUUGACGGUACCUAAUCAGAAAGCCACGGCUAACUACGUG
rnacentral:rRNA from 1 species